AACGAACGCUGGCGGCAUGCCUAACACAUGCAAGUCGAACGAGAUCUUCGGGUCUAGUGGCGCACGGGUGCGUAACGCGUGGGAAUCUGCCCUUUGGUUCGGAAUAACAGUUGGACAAGACUGCUAAUACCGGAUGAUGACGAAAGUCCAAAGAUUUAUCGCCAGAGGAUGAGCCCGCGUAGGAUUAGCUAGUUGGUGUGGUAAAGGCGCACCAAGGCGCCGAUGCUUAGCUGGUCUGAGAGGAUGAUCAGCCACACGGGGACUGGGACACGGCCCAGACUCCUACGGGAGGCAGCAGUGGGGAAUAUUGGACAAUGGUCGAAAGCCUGAUCCAGCAAUGCCGCGUGAGUGAUGAAGGCCUGAGGGUUGUAAAGCUCUUUUACCCGGGAUGAUAAUGACAGUACCGGGAGAAUAAGCUCCGGCUAACUCCGUGCCAGCAGCCGCCGUAA
rnacentral:rRNA from 1 species